rnacentral:misc_RNA from 1 species
GAUGAAGAACGCAGCAAAAUGCGAUAAGUAAUGUGAAUUGCAGAAUUCAGUGAAUCAUCGAAUCUUUGAACGCUCAUUGCGCCCGCUGGUAUUCCGGCGGGCAUGCCUGUUCGAGCGUCAUUUCAACCCUCAAGCCCCCGGGUUUGGUGUUGGGGAUCGGCUCUGCCCUUCUGGGCGGUGCCGCCCCCGAAAUACAUUGGCGGUCUCGCUGCAGCCUCCAUUGCGUAGUAGCUAACACCUCGCAACUGGAACGCGGCGCGGCCAUGCCGUAAAACCCCAACUUCUGAAUGUUGACCUCGGAUCAGGUAGGAAUACCCGCUGAACUUAAGCAUAUCAAUAAGCGGAGGA